rnacentral:misc_RNA from 1 species
GAAAUGCGAUACGUAGUGUGAAUUGCAGAAUUCAGUGAACCAUCGAAUCUUUGAACGCACCUUGCGGCCGCCGGCAUUCCGGCGGCCAUGCCCGUUCGAGCGUCGGAUAAGAACUCGAGGACCCCUCUCCCCCCCCUAAACCGGGAGAGGGCGCCCCCGGCAUUGGGCCAGCGCGCCGCCUCGCCGCCAGGCGAGGCCGCGCAGCCCGGAGUCCAGCGGCGGCAGCGCCCGCGACGCCCCCUGCGUAGUAGUUCUCUUACUCGCACUGGGUUCCUCGCGCAGCCCGCCUCCAGGCGCCGCCCGCGGCCCUGGGCAAACCACUUUCCGAAUUUGCGACCUCGAAUCGGGUAGGGUUACCCGCUAAACUUAA